ACCUGCUGGGUGCUGGGAGCAUCCAUACCUAGGGACACUUGAGAUUUGCGCAAAGGUUGCCUGAAAGGAAGCAAAAGAUCUCUAACCAGAUAUUGAAGUCCAGCUAAUGAUGUUCGUGCUGUGGUAUUUGGGGGGGAUUAGCAACUUACUCUGAAUGGAUCGAAGAACAUGGGGCAGAGAGAUGCGUGGAAAUCAGGCUGGCCGUGAGAUACGGAGUCUGGCAAAAGUCGAGCACGGCAUGGAGGUGGAGGGUCUAUGGGCGCUUGCUGUAAAAUGCUUUCUUCCAACUUUUACGUAUAUUUAUACACUUCCAUAAUGAAAUAUUGGUGGGGCGGGGAGAGAAACGAAAGGGCACCCCAAAACAGCCUCACGUGAAAGGCACCUCGUUGUGGUGAGUUUUCAGAGCUGCUGAGGCUUUCAGAGGCUGCAGAGAGAGGAGCGAACGGGAAAGACUCAGAGGGCUCAGAACUGACCCAGAGCCUCCCAAGGCAGAGAUUCCCUCUGUGGUCUGCGUUAAGACCGGUCGCGGCGGCCUGGGUCUGCGUUCAAGACGCAAUUUCCUGUUCCUUGGGAUGAAGCACAUCUUGGACUUGGACUACCUCUCUCUACACGGCCUUUGGUCACCACCAGGAAAGAUGACAAUGGCCAUCUCCCCAGGGACACUGGGAGACUCCUCGAGUGUGUUUGCAGAAAUAGGGGAAGGAGUAGAGACACAAAGCGGCUUCGUAUCUAGAAACGGCUCACAGAGAACCCAAACCAGGAACCUACCCAGCAUGCUAACUGGAACCAUCACCUUGCUUUUCCAAACAAGCCCGUAUUUUAUUUUGAGACUCCUGUUCGUCAAUGCAAAACACUCUGUCCCCAUGCUUAGCCCUGUAAAGCAUUAUAUAUCUGAGAAGCCAGGAAAAGAGGGUGGCAGGAGAGGUUUUGGAAACGGAGCCAGAUCCCAUGCUGGGGAAUUCUUAAGUGCCAUCCUGGCCUGCAAAAAGAGAAAGAAAAGAAAGAAAGAAAGAAAAAGAAAAAACAAG